UCAUCCUUUUUCGUUGUGUUUCAGUUUGGCCUGUCGUUGUCGUGCAGCGGCUAUUAAAGCGGGAAACUCGUGGUUUGCUCUGGAGAACUAUGGCGUUUGUUUCUCGGCUAAAGGACCUUUGUCAGAUUAUUUAAAAGAGUAAGUAAUCGGAAAAAAACACCAUUUCUUUUCGUACCAAAACGCUCCUAAUAAGCACACGUUUUUUUGAUCAAGGAGUAAAUGGGAUUCUGUAGCUUGUUUCUUUUGUUUUAGCUAUCCACUUGAUCCUGAAGAUCAUUGUGUCGGGGUCAUCAAACAUAACAAAACUAUUGUGAGCCAGGAAGAUGGAGAAAUCUGCGUGGGUGGAUAUUUCAGAGCCUAUAUGUACGAGAUUUCUAACAUUGGUGCUUCAGCACCAGCAGCUGCUCCAGAGGAAGAGGUCGAAGAAGUUGAAGUAGCCCGUGAGUAUCAUGUAUACAUGCUCGUAAUAGUAAUAGUAAUAGUAAUAGCAAUAGUAACAGCAACAGCAACAGCAACAGCAACAGCAACAG